GUUAUCGACCAAAGCGCUAUUGUCCCCAAUAGGCGGAUGAAGUUGGCACAUACGGUUAACACAGAUGUCUUCUGGAACAAGGAAGACUGUCGAAUCCCCGAAGGUCUUGAUCCUCAUAACAUCUAUCAGAAUAUCAAAUCAGCUCUUGCAAAACCGGGUUGUCGUGGUGCUGGGCUUAUUGUGAGAAGAACGAUUUUCCGUGGUUGAUAUCACCUUAGUAGCCGCAGGAGAUCAAACUGCGAGAUUCAAGGAAAUGGUAAGGGACAUUCUUUUUGUAAGCUCAGGAAAAGGAGCUCGACGGAUCGUGAAACAGAGG